rnacentral:pre_miRNA from 1 species
AGGGGAGUGGGGCGUCCCUCAGCCCAGAUUGUGAGAAGGCGCAGGCCAGGCUGAGGGAACCCACCAGUGUAUG